ensembl:antisense Gm13175 predicted gene 13175
GAGGCAGAGCAGCACCCAGCACCUCAAGUUCAGUACCCCAGCUCUCACUGCUCUGCUGAGGCUGUGAGGUCGUUUGUUAUCACCGUACAGUGGUGCAUCAUGCCUGACUCUGUCACUGUAUCUUCAUAAGGUCUGGGGCCAUUGAUGGCAUCAACAUCUUAAUUUCUCCAAUCUUGCAGAGGAAGACACUAUUCCACCUUGACAUGAUAGUGACUGAGGAACUACAGCAUUCUGAAAGGGAAUUGUAGAAGAGGGCAUUGUCCCAGAAUCAGGGAACAGCCACUGAAACUGGAGUCUUGAAAUUGGUUCUCCAUGGCACAUGUGGAAGUCUUUGACGAGGCCAAGGUGUUUGCAUGGUCACUGUCAUAUGUUAUGACAGCUAGAAGUGUCCAGGAGUUAAGGGUUAUUAGAGGGUGUACGUUGCAAAGGCGUGGAGAUGAAGAAUAAAGGGGAAAUUGUUUUUGCU